AUAAGCCCCUCCCAACAAAACCACUAUCACUUCACAUUUCAUUCCUUAAUUUCUUUCUUAAACAGCCUGUGUUUUCUUAAAUAACUCUUUUUUUUAUUAUUAUUUUUUUUUUCCAUAAAGAAAGUUUGAAGACGAAGAGUAGAAAACGAUACAUAACUUAGAAGGAUCAACGAUAAUAGUUGUACGUGCACGAGUUUUUCGGUUGCUUGAUCAAAAUUCAUUACUUAUACCGAUAUGUCUACUAAACUAAUAACUAAUAAUACAAUGGUGAUGCCAACAUCGAAUAUAACAGAUCAUAUGACGGAAUUAGUAGUAUUUGCAAAGUGCGAUUGUUGCGGAUUGAUAGAGGAGUGUACCCCGACAUACAUACAAAGUACUCGUGACACGUAUAACGGUAACUGGCUAUGCGGAUUAUGUGGAGAAGCUGUGAAAGAUGAAAUGGUAAGGAACAAAAGAUUAAUGAGCACCAAAGAGGCCGUGACACGUCAUAUGGACUUUUGUCAAGAGUCAAGGUCACCACAACCACCACAUAAUUCCGCGGUCCAUUUGAUAGCUGCAAUGAGGCAGAUUAUCCGGCGUGGUUUGGAUUCGCCGAUAAGGUCUAUGCCAAAUAGUCCUGUAAGAAAUACUGAUAACGUAAGAGGGAGUCAAUCUUAUACGGAUUUGCAACAACUUAUGAAAUGAUGAGAAAAAUAAAAGUAGUGAGGAGACAAGGGUUAUGAAAUGUAAAUGAAGAAUAGUUUUAUAUAUGUUGAAGCGGCUAAAACAUGCCGUUUUAAAAAGAAUAAUAAAAUAAAAUAAAUGUGAAGCAUUUUUGUACAUGAAA